ACCCGCUGAACUUAAGCAUAUCAGUAAGCGGAGGAAAAGAAACUAACUAGGAUUCCCCGAGUAGCGGCGAGCGAAAGGGGAGGAGCCCAGCGCCGAAGCCCGCGGCCUCGCCGUCGCGGUGCAAUGUGGCGUUACGGUGGCGCCUCGCCGCGGCCCCUCUGGCGCGCGUACCUCUGAACGGGUCUGCCCACAGCGGGUGUCAGGCCUCUGGGUUCGCCGAGCGAGUGGGCCGCGUCCCGGCGUCAUCGCGGAGUCGUGUUGCUUGAGAGUGCAGCGCAAAGUGGCUGGUAAGCUCCAGCUAAGGCUAAAUACCUAGUGGGAGACCGAUAGCAAACAAGUACCGUGAGGGAAAGUUGCAAAGAACUUUGAAAAGAGAGUUCAAGAGUACGUGAAACGGUGAGCGAGCAAACGGACGGAACUGGGCGAGUUCGGCGCGCGCCAUUCAACCCGUCGGCCUCGCGGCCGUCGGGCGCACUUGGCGUCGUCGGAGCGCAGCGACCGCUUGCGCGGCCGUCUGAAACGCCUCGGCAAGGUGGCCGUCGGUUCGCGCCGGCGGUGUUACAGGCCGGGGUCGUGUCGUCGGCUGGGCGGGCGAGGAGCGCCUGCCGCGUCCUCUCUCUUCGGAAAGCGCGUCUCGUCGUCGGCGGCCGGCGGGCCGCGUCGUCAAACUUCUGUCAAAGUUUGGCGUCGCGCGCCCCGUCGCGUCGUCCGGCGCGGUGUCGCGUUGGCGCGCAGGGUCCGAGCUGCGUGGUUCCCGGCACUCCGUCCGACCCGUCUUGAAACACGGACCAAGGAGUUGACCUUUGCCGCGAGUCACAGGGACCUACGAAUCCCCACGGCGUACCGAAAGGAAGACGGGUGCGAUCCGGCGUCCCCAUGGCGCCGGCGCAGCACCGGCCCGCGGCGUGCUCGUUGCAAGCUGCCGCGGAGCGAGAGCGGUAAGGGUCAGACCCGAAAGGUGGUGAACUAUGCUUGAGCAGGGCGAAGCCAGAGGAAACUCUGGUGGAGGCUCGCAGCGAUCCUGACGUGCAAAUCGGUCGUCAAACUUGAGCAUAGGGGCGAAAGACUAAUCGAACCGCCUAGUAGCUGGUUCCUGCCGAAGUUUCCCUCAGGAUAGCUGGCACUCGCGUUCAAUGGUUUUAUCCGGUAAAGCGAAUGAUUAGAGGCAUUGGGGACGAAACGUCCUCAACCUAUUCUCAAACUUUAAAUGGGUAAGAGGCGCCGCCCAUCCUGAGCGGGGCGGCGUGCUCGAACAGAGAGUGCCCAGUGGGCCGUUUUUGGUAAGCAGAACUGGCGCUGUGGGAUGAACCAAACGCUCGGUUAGAGUGCCUCAGCGUACGCUCAUGAGACACCACAAAAGGUGUUGGUUGAUAUAGACAGCAGGACGGUGGCCAUGGAAGUCGGAAUCCGCUAAGGAGUGUGUAACAACUCACCUGCCGAAUCAACUAGCCCUGAAAAUGGAUGGCGCUUGAGCGUGCGACUCAUACCGGGCCGUCGGGGCAACGCGUGCGUAAUGCCAUGCCCCGACGAGUAGGCGGGUGCGUCGGUGGCGUUGAAGCGUAGUGCGCGAGCACGCGUGGAGCCGCCUUCGGUACAGAUCUUGGUGGUAGUAGCAAGUAUACAAAUGAGAACUUUGUAGACCGAAGUGGAGAAGGGUUCCAUGUGAACAGCAGUUGGACAUGGGUCAGUCGGCCCUAAGAGAUCGGAGAACUCCGUUCUGAACGCGGACACGUGCGACGCGAGACGCCGAGUGCGGCGGUCGCUAGCGCGCGCGCUCACACACGACCGGAGCGGCACGGCGGCGGCGCACCGGGUUCGGGAGAGAGGACGCGUCUGAACACACGGUAAACCAAAAACGCGCAGAGCACAUCCUGCGACGGAGCGCGGCUCUCUCUCUCGCGCACACGCGUAACAGCUGUGUGCAGGCUCGGCGACGCUCGUACGCUCGUGCGCCUCAAACGAAAGGCGGUGAUCAUACUGUACACACGCGAUGGUCGGAGCGCGCGUACGCGACGCCCGUCGCGAAGCGGAUCGCGCGCGCGCAUUCGUGCCGCGAAACGAUCGAAAGGGAAUCGGGUUAAUAUUCCCGAACCUGACGGUGGAGAUCGGGCCCUCGGGCCCCAGCGCGGUAACGCAACCGAACACGGAGACGCCAGCGUCGAUCCCGGGAAGAGUUCUCUUUUCUUUGUUAGGAGCGGACUCCCUGGAAUUCGAUUGUCGAGAGAUAGGGACGUUGCAUCCGUAAAGCGUCGCGCCUCACGCGGCGUCCGGUGCAUCGGCGUUGGCCCUUGAAAAUCCGUGGGAGGCAGUGUAAUUUUCACGUCAGGCCGUACCCGAAUCCGCAGCAGGUCUCCAAGGUGAACAGCCUCUGGUCGAUAGAACAAUGUAGGUAAGGGAAGUCGGCAAAUCCGAUCCGUAACUUCGGGACAAGGAUUGGCUCUGAGGUGCGGGCUGCUUCGGGUCGCGGCAAGAAGCGAAUGGCGCGCCGGCAGGGCUGCGC
rnacentral:rRNA from 1 species